UACGUAGGUGGCAAGCGUUGUCCGGAUUUAUUGGGUUUAAAGGGUGCGUAGGCGGCCUUGUAAGUCAGUGCUGAAAUAUCCCGGCUUAACCGGGAGGGUGGCAUUGAUACUGCAGGGCUUGAGUAAAGUUGAGGUUGGCGGAAUUGACGGUGUAGCGGUGAAAUGCUUAGAUAUCGUCAAGAACACCGAUAGUGAAGACAGCUAACUAAGCUUUAACUGACGCUGAGGCACGAAAAGUGUGGGGAUCAAAACAGG
rnacentral:rRNA from 1 species